UACGAAGGGGGCUAGCGUUGUUCGGAAUUACUGGGCGUAAAGCGUGCGCAGGCGGUUUGUUAAGACAGAUGUGAAAUCCCCGGGCUUAACCUGGGAACUGCAUUUGUGACUGGCAAGCUAGAGUAUGGCAGAGGGGGGUAGAAUUCCACGUGUAGCAGUGAAAUGCGUAGAGAUGUGGAGGAAUACCGAUGGCGAAGGCAGCCCCCUGGGCCAAUACUGACGCUCAUGCACGAAAGCGUGGGGAGCAAACAGG
rnacentral:rRNA from 1 species